rnacentral:rRNA from 1 species
UACGGAGGGUGCAAGCGUUAAUCGGAAUUACUGGGCGUAAAGCGCACGCAGGCGGUUUGUUAAGUCAGAUGUGAAAUCCCCGAGCUCAACCUGGGAACUGCAUUCAAAACUGACGAGCUAGAGUAUGGUAGAGGGUGGUGGAAUUUCCUGUGUAGCGGUGAAAUGCGUAGAUAUGCGGAGGAACACCGAUGGCGAAGGCAAUCCCCUGGACCUGUACUGACGCUCAUGCACGAAAGCGUGGGGAGCAAACAGG